AUGAAGAUGAAGAUUGGCAAGGCCCCAGUGCUCCUCAAGAAGGCGGCGGCUAUCUGCAAAAGCAAGACCGGCGUUGUCAUGGCCAGGCUCCGCAUCCUCACCUCGCCCCACCGCAGGAUGGCCACGAUCGGCGCCAUCUCUCACAGGAUCCACACUCUCAUUGUGGAAAAUCAGGAGAAGGGUGCCAAGGUGGACUACCACAAGACCUUGGUCCGCAAGGUCGAGAGGCAGGCAUGCCAUGGGAUGGUUGAUGAUCUGUUUCACCAUCUAGCACAGUUUGAUGAAGAUGAUGGUGUUGGUGGCUGUCCUAACUGGACACUUCACCCGAUCUUCAGCGACGGUGAUAAUUGUUGUUACACUUAUGGGUAUGACGACAAUGACGAUGAUGAAGAUGAGCCCUCGGUGGUGGAUGCAAUUAGGAGCAACCAGGAGGCUGCGGAGUUGGCAUUCAACAUGGACGACGAUAUCGACCAGGCUGCUUAA
rnacentral:rRNA from 1 species